rnacentral:rRNA from 1 species
CCUACGGGAGGCAGCAGUGAGGAAUCUUUGUCAAUGGCCGGAAGGCUGAACCAGCCCAGCCGCGUGAAGGACGAAGGUGCCAAGCAUUGUAAACUUCUUUUGUCAAGGGACAAAAUCAGGCUCGAGAGCCUGAACGAGGGUACUUGAAGAAAAAGCAUCGGCUAACUCCGUGCAAGCAGCCGCGGUAAUACGGAGGAUCCGAGCGUUAUCCGGAUUUAUUGGGUUUAAAGGGAGCGUAGAUGGGUUGUUAAGUCAGUUGUGAACGUUUGCGGCUCAACCGUAAAAUUGCAAUUGAUACUGGCAGUCUUGAGUACAGUUGAGGUAGGCGGAAUUCGUGGUGUAGCGGUGAAAUGCUUAGAUAUCACGAAGAACCCCGAUUGCGAAGGCAGCUUACUAAACUGUGACUGACAUUGAUGCUCGAAAGUGUAGGUAUCAAACAGGAUUAGAUACCCCGGUAGUC